CCCAAGUGACAAGUAAUUAAUUUGUAUUUUAAAUCUAUCAGCAAAUUAAGUACUUAAGUAAGUUUUUUAAAAGAAAGAAUAGGUCCUAUGCACCUGUGUGAAGAUAGAACAAAAUGUAUUCAUAGUUAACAACAUAAUAGAAAAUUUAAAGCUAUUAUGCAAAGUUAAAUUUAAAAAUAAAUCCCCUUCUCAUCAUGCAUGUUUCUGCAGGAGAAAUUGAUCCUGCCACCUACUUCACCCUGUGGAAUUUCUGCACAGUACUAACUCACAGUGGAUGUAAUUCAAAUGUACUGUUCUCCUUCUGAUCUAAGUUGAUAUUCCACUGCUGUUAAUGAAAGGAAGAUGCGCAGAGCUGUGGGUGAAAGAAGAUUGAAGACUGAAGAACAAUUCUCUUAUGCUGCUUAAGAGAGAUACCUCUAUUUUUAUGUAUCAUAUUGCCAUAAGUAGCCUCUAAUAUGUGAAAUUUA